rnacentral:RNase_P_RNA from 1 species
GGAGCGGGCCGGGCAGUCGCUUUUGAAAGAAAGAGGAAAGUCCGAACACCAUAGAGCAACGAGCCGGAUAACGUCCGGGCGUCCGGGUAAAACCGGAUGACGACAAGUGCAACAGAAAGCAAACCAGCCUCUCAAGAGGUGAUGGGUGAAACGGUGAGGUAAGAGCCCACCGGCGUGUGUGGUAACAUGCGCGGCCGGGUAAACUCUUCGUGGUGCAAGACCAAAUAGGGAAACGUGAAUUGGGCUGCUCGUCCGAGCGUCCGGUGAAAACCGGACAGCGUUUCCGGGUAGGUCGCUCGAGCUGUUCGGUAACGAACGGCCUAGAUGAAUGAUUGCCGCCCGCGCGAGCGGAGUACAAGAUUCGGCUUAUAGGCUCGUUCCGGCG